rnacentral:rRNA from 1 species
GUAGGUGGGCAAGCGUUGUCCGGAAUUAUUGGGCGUAAAAGCGCGCGCAGGCGGUCCUUUAAGUCUGAUGUGAAAGCCCACGGCUCAACCGUGGAGGGUCAUUGGAAACUGGGGGACUUGAGUACAGAAGAGGAAAGCGGAAUUCCAAGUGUAGCGGUGAAAUGCGUAGAGAUUUGGAGGAACACCAGUGGCGAAGGCGGCUUUCUGGUCUGUAACUGACGCUGAGGCGCGAAAGCGUGGGGAGCAAACAGGAUUAGAUACCCUGGUAGUCCACGCCGUAAACGAUGAGUGCUAAGUGUUAGGGGGUUUCCGCCCCUUAGUGCUGCAGCUAACGCAUUAAGCACUCCGCCGUGGGGAGUACGGCCGCAAAGGCUA